CGGGACGUAGCUCAGUUGGUAGAGCGCCUGGUUUGGGACCAGGAGGCCGCGAGUUCGAGCCCCGCCGUCCCGACCA
rnacentral:tRNA from 2 species